UACAGAUCCCAGCAGGGUGGCCUUUUGCAGUUGGCAGAUCGUAAUUUUGUCAAUGUCUAUUGUUUCCAAAUGCCGGCUGAGAUCUUUUGGCACGGCACCCAGUGUGCCCAUCACCACCGGGACCACCUGCACUGGUUUCUGCCAGAGUCUUUGAAGUUCAAUCUUGAGGUCCUGAUAGCGGCUGAGUUUUUCCUGUUGUUUUUCGUCAAUGCGACUGUCACCUGGGAUGGCGACAUCAAUGAUCCUAACCUUUUUCUUUUCCACAACUGUGAUGUCUGGUGUGUUGUGUUCCAGAACUUUGUCAGUCUGGAUUCGGAAGUCCCACAGUAUCUUUGUGUGUUCAUUUUCCAAUACUUUUGCAGGUUUGUGAUCCCACCAGUUCUUUGCUGCUGGGAGCUGGUACUUGAAGCAUAAGUUCCAAUGAAUCAUUUGGGCCACAUAGUUGUGCCUCUGUUUGUAGUCAGUCUGUGCGUUUUUCUUGCAGCAGCUGAGGAUAUGAUCAAUGGUUUCGUCACAUUGACAGUCGCAUUGACGAAAAACAAGAAAAACUCAGCUGCUAUCAGGACCUCAAGAUUGAACUUCAAAGACUCUGGCAGAAACCAGUGCAGGUGGUCCUGGUGGUGAUGGGCACACUGAGUGCCGUGCCAAAAGAUCUCAACCGGCAUUUGGAAACAAUAGACAUUGACAAAAUCACGAUCUGCCAACUGCAAAAGGCCACCCUACUGGGAUCUGCGCGCAUCAUCCGAAAAUACAUCACACAGUCCUAGACACUUGGGAAGUGUUCGACUUGUGAUUUUGUGAUACAAAAUCCAGCAUAUCUAUCUUGUUUGCUGUGUCAUAAUAAAAUAAUAAUAAUAAUAAUGCAAAAUCCAGCACACUAUAUACAGUAGAGUCUCACUUAUCCAACGUUCUGGAUUAUCCAAUGCAUUUUUGUAGUUAAUGUUUUCAAUGCAUCAUAUUUUGGUGCUAAAUUCGUAAAUACAGUAAUUACUACAUAACAUUACUGCGUAUUGAACUACUUUUUCUGUCAAAUUUGUUGUCUAACAUGAUGUUUUGGUGCUUAAUUUGUAAAAUCGUAACCUAAUUUGAUGUUUAAUAGGCUUUUCCUUAAUCUCUAUUAUCCAACAUAUGUGCUUAUCCAACAUUCUGCUGGCCCAUUUAUGUUGGAUAAGCAAGACUCUACUGUAUCUCCUUUGCUGUGUCAUACUAUGUCUUUGUGUCAAUAAUAAUAAUAUUGGUGAGCCUUUUUGUAAAGUUUGCUGUGCUCUCUUCUGCCUCGCUUUCCAAGCUGCCUUUUAAUAAUGCAGCAUUUUGACAAACUUGCCUGAGCCGUUUUUGUUUUUCGGUGGGCGAUCUGGCAUGCUAUAAUUAGGAGCCCGUUUUCCGAAAUGUUCCCGCGUGCAUACGCACUAUCUCUGUGCGCUAUUGCUGCCAUAGCAACGGCUGCCUCCGUUCCUCCAGCAAAGCUAUCCGGUUCAAGCCUCGCUUUCUCUGACGUUGCCAUUUCACCUUCCCCCAAAGGCACAUCCUGGAUCCAAGACAGGAACACGAUGGCAUUGGAAAGCAAGCAAGCAAACAAGAAUUGGCGACCGACAAGGUAAAAUAGCCCCCUCCCCAUUCUGCAAGAGGUCGGGAUGAACAUCAUUGCUUUCCAUGCAAGGAUUCCUCACUUGAUGCUCAUACAAGAGACAUCGGCAGGGAUACAAUAAAGGAGAAGAAGUGGAAAUCAAGUGUAGCCCACUGAUGAACCGUGGGAGAAAGUAAGGUCUGGACAGGAUUAUGCAAAGACAGCUGUGUGUGGGAAGAACUGCAUGGUGACAGAAGGAGCUCUGACCAAGAGAAAUCUGCUGUGUAUCAGAAGGACCGUGCGAGACCUUUUCAUCAUCUGUUCCAUUCACACUGGAUGCCCGAGUCGAACAUGGAGUUUCGCGCCCUGAUUCCUGCACCAGACAUUCAAUGAAAAAAAUGGAAGAGUCACGAC